UCCCUGGUGGUCCAGUGGCUAACAGUACAUACUCCCAAUGCAGGGGACCCAGGUUCAAUCCCUGGCCAGGGAA
rnacentral:tRNA from 1 species